UCAAUAAGCGGAGGAAAAGAAACUAACAAGGAUUCCCUUAGUAACGGCGAGUGAAAAGGGAAAAGCUCAAAUUUUGAAUCUGGCGGUCUAUGGCCGUCCGAGUUGUAAUCUAGAGAAGUGUUUUCCGCGCUGGACCGUGUACAAGUCCUUUGGAAUAAGGCGUCAUAGAGGGUGAGAAUCCCGUCUACGACACGGACGACCAGUGCUUUGUGAUACACUCUCAACGAGUCGAGUUGUUUGGGAUUGCAGCUCAAAAUGGGUGUUAAAUUCCAUCUAAAGCUAAAUAUGGGCGAAAGACCGAUAGCGAACAAGUACCGUGAGGGAAAGAUGAAAAGCACUUUGGAAAGAGAAUUAAACAGUACGUGAAAUUGUUGAAAGGGAAACGCUUGAAGUCAGUCGCGUCUUCAGAAAUUCAGCCUGGCUUCUGCCUGGUGUACUUUUCUGUGAGGACGGGCCAGCAUCAGUUUUGGCCGCCAGAAAAAGGUGAGAGGAAGGUGGCACCCCUCUGGGGGUGUGUUAUAGCCUCUGAUCGUAUGUGGCGGCUGGGACUGAGGACCGCAGCACGCCUUUAAUGGCCGGGGUUCGCCCACGUAACGUGCUUAGGAUGCUGGCGUAAUGGCUUUAA
rnacentral:rRNA from 1 species